UGGAAUUCAGACGUGUGACCUUGCACGCCCUACGUCGGAACCUCGAGUUCCCCGCGAAGGAACCUGGAGUACCCUGCGGUGGUUUUCAGCAGUGCCUCCUCUUCCCAUCCCACGUGGUCCCACACUUCCUUUGGGUAGAGCAUUCAUUUCGCAAGAGUAGUGACAGAGAAGAUUCUACCACUUGCCUUUUUGUAUGACUUGGGGCACGUUAUUGUAGGGCUUCUGUUAAGAAUUUUGCGUGCUGUGUACAUGGUGGAAGUGUAAGACUUUUGCAUGUGGACCUGAAGUUAUGCGUCUUUAUUGCCUUAAUCAGUCUGUAAGUGUGCUGUCUGGUAUGAUAGUCUGGCAAUUCCCAACCUCCUCUCCCCUUGGCUGAGGAACUGCUUUGUCCUAUCUCAGCAAACAUCCUUUGUUUGUUUGCCUGUCCUGUAGGAAGUCCAGAGUUGUACAGAUGUCUCUGGGAUCGCCUUCUCCCAGAUGGUGGAGGCUGAGCUUUGUUUCUGCCCUGUGCAGGUGGGUAGUCUCUCUCAGGCUGUACAGAGAAUGUGUGUAGUGGAAUGGGAUGCUCAGAGUGCUGACCUGGG